GACGAACGCUGGCGGCGUGCCUAACACAUGCAAGUCGAGCGAAUGAAGUUCCUUCGGGAAUGGAUUUAGCGGCGGACGGGUGAGUAACACGUGGGCAACCUGCCUCAUAGAGGGGAAUAGCCUUCCGAAAGGGAGAUUAAUACCGCAUAAGAUUGUAAUACCGCAUGGUACAGCAAUUAAAGGAGCAAUCCGCUAUGAGAUGGGCCCGCGGCGCAUUAGCUAGUUGGUGAGGUAACGGCUCACCAAGGCGACGAUGCGUAGCCGACCUGAGAGGGUGAUCGGCCACAUUGGGACUGAGACACGGCCCAGACUCCUACGGGAGGCAGCAGUGGGGAAUAUUGCACAAUGGGGGAAACCCUGAUGCAGCAACGCCGCGUGAGUGAUGACGGCCUUCGGGUUGUAAAGCUCUGUCUUCAGGGACGAUAAUGACGGUACCUGAGGAGGAAGCCACGGCUAACUACGUGCCAGCAGCCGCCGUAA
rnacentral:rRNA from 1 species